GCGGGGGCUGAACAAGUGCUGCGGGAGUGGCGGAGGAGUUUGGAGGUGAUUGGACUGGGAAUGGUGACUGUUAUCAUGGCGUUUGGACACUAAGAUGGUUUCGUCGGGCUGCGUGUAGCAGGUAUAAAAGUAAAACACAAAUACAUUCUCCUCCGCCUUCUUAUUAUAUUUGGAUUCGUUUUCCUUCUUGCUGGAGUAUGUCCUCAGAUGACUCCUUGGGUAGUGACCACACUUCGGCAGGCGGGUACGUGGCAGUCUUGGAUGAGACCAAGAAGGAAACGAACUCUCAAGUGCCUGAAAGCCCGUCCGGAUCAAGCCCUGCUGCCCUCCCAUUAUGUGGACUGAAGAAUUUGUUGGCUAGAUUCUCCACGUGCACCCACUGGAGCUGACGUGUGCCGUAGGGGAGAGAGAUUUGGGAAAGGCUCAAACACAGAACUGAUACGCAGCCCACAGUUGCAUCUCUGAGCAGAUGGAGGCAGGAGAUACGAAGUUAAGUACCGGAGUCCUCUGAACACGUAGGGCAGACGGGUGGACGGGGUUCUCCUGGGUCCCCAAGGAAGUCGGGCAUUUCUUCAAGUUGUAUCAGCGUUUGCUCUUCUCUAGAAGGUGUGAUCGCCUCCACUUUGUGGGUACCUGGGGCCCUAUCCACCUGCAGAGAGGGUGCUGCGCCCCCGACCUGAUGCCCUGCCUUUCUGCACAAAAUACAACAGUGUAGGGUUUUUA